UAUAACCCAAGGGGUUGGCCUAAGCGGUGAAGGCCUUGAUCUUGUAGUAUCACUCUCUUCAAGGUUUAAGGUUCAACAUCUCAUGGAUCAAUAUUUAUUCUGCAAGGGUGGGUCCAAAGGUCUUGUCUUGGAGAGGUUUCUCGAUAUUAAAAAAAAAAAAAAAUGAAAGUGCUGUUGUAAUUUAAUGGGACAGCUGAUUAUGCACCUGUGUGUGUGUGGUUUUGUUCUUAUUCCUUGCAGUGGAGUUCAUUCCUUGUUGUAGUGGGUAUAUCUGAAGAGGGAGAAUAAAUGCUCUUUAUAUAGUGUAUUAGAAUAAUUAUGGUCACCACGAGCCAUAAUUAAUAGAACUUUUAAAUUCCUUUUAGCUUUAUUAUAUUUGUGAAAGAUAUUGGCUGUGAAAGUGUCAACAGACAAUGAGUUUUAGGAAAUAAAAAUGAUAAAUUCUACUAAUUUAAA